ACUCCUACGGGAGGCAGCAGUGGGGAAUAUUGGACAAUGGGGGGAACCCUGAUCCAGCCAUGCCGCGUGUGUGAAGAAGGCCUUAUGGUUGUAAAGCACUUUAAGCGAGGAGGAGGCUACUGAGACUAAUACUCUUGGAUAGUGGACGUUACUCGCAGAAUAAGCACCGGCUAACUCUGUGCCAGCAGCCGCGGUAAUACAGAGGGUGCGAGCGUUAAUCGGAUUUACUGGGCGUAAAGCGUGCGUAGGCGGCUUUUAAGUCGGAUGUGAAAUCCCCGAGCUUAACUUGGGAAUUGCAUUCGAUACUGGGGAAGCUAGAGUAUGGGAGAGGAUGGUAGAAUUCCAGGUGUAGCGGUGAAAUGCGUAGAGAUCUGGAGGAAUACCGAUGGCGAAGGCAGCCAUCUGGCCUAAUACUGACGCUGAGGUACGAAAGCAUGGGAGCAAACAGGAUUAGAUACCCCUGGUAGGUCAGUC
rnacentral:rRNA from 1 species